UGGGAAUUUUGGACAAUGGGCGGAAGCCUGAUCCAGCAAUGCCGCGUGUGUGAAGAAGGCCUUCGGGUUGUAAAGCACUUUUGUCCGGAAAGAAAUCCUUGGCUCUAAUACAGUCGGGGGAUGACGGUACCGGAAGAAUAAGCACCGGCUAACUACGUGCCAGCAGCCGCGGUAAUACGUAGGGUGCAAGCGUUAAUCGGAAUUACUGGGCGUAAAGCGUGCGCAGGCGGUUUGCUAAGACCGAUGUGAAAUCCCCGGGCUCAACCUGGGAACUGCAUUGGUGACUGGCAGGCUAGAGUAUGGCAGAGGGGGGUAGAAUUCCACGUGUAGCAGUGAAAUGCGUAGAGAUGUGGAGAAUACCGAUGGCGAAGGCAGCCCCCUGGGCCAAUA
rnacentral:rRNA from 1 species